GGGGCUGACCGGUUUUGACAGCGGGUAGAAGUGGUUUGUAAGCAUGCAGUGCGUCGUUGGCUGGCACUAUAAUCUUGGCUGAUAAACAAUUAACUGGCGAAAAUACUUACGCUCUCGCUGCGUGAUUGAAGAAUAGUAAAUCACCCUUUAUCCCUGCUCAAGGAGUAGGGACGAGACGUCACCCGAUACUUUUUCUCCGAAGUGAAUCGAAACGGUGGCGCAGCAUAUCGGAGAUAGUCGGAUGUAGUCUUCGGAUGUCCGAUGAAAAUUAAGAAGAUAAGGUUGCGGUAGGUAGCUUCGGUCUUGCCACAUCACGAAAAUUAAGCGAAGAUAAGCAUGUAGAAAGCAGAUUAGUUCCUCGUUUGGACGAGAGUUCGAAUCUCUCCAGCUCCACCA
rnacentral:tmRNA from 1 species